rnacentral:rRNA from 1 species
GCCUAAAGCGUCCGUAGCCUGCUUUGUAAGUUUUCGGUUAAAUCCAUAUGCUCAACAUAUGGGCUGCCGGAAAUACUGCAUAGCUAGGGAGUGGGAGAGGUAGACGGUACUCCGUAGGAAGGGGUAAAAUCCUUUGAUCUAUGGAUGACCACCUGUGGCGAAGGCGGUCUACCAGAACACGUCCGACGGUGAGGGAUGAAAGCUGGGGGAGCAAACCGGAUUAGAUACCCGGGUAGUCCCAGCUGUAAACUAUGCAAACUCAGUGAUGCAUUGGCUUGUGGCCAAUGCAGUGCCGCAGAGAAGUCGUUAAGUUUGCCGCCUGGGAAGUACGUACGCAAGUAUGAAACUUAAAGGAAUUGGCGGGGGAGCACCACAAGGGGUGAAGCCUGCGGUUCAAUUGGAGUCAACGCCAGAAAUCUUACCCGGAGAGACAGCAGGAUGAAGGUCAAGCUGAAGACUUUACCAGACAAGCUGAGAGGUGGUGCAUGGCCGUCGCCAGCUCGUGCCGUGAGAUGUCCUGUUAAGUCAGGUAACGAGCGAGAUCCUUGCCUCUAGUUGCCACCAUUACUCUCAGGAGUAGUGGGGCGAAUUAGCGGGACCGCCGUAGUUAAUACGGAGGAAGGAAGGGGCCACGGCAGGUCAGUAUGCCCCGAA